rnacentral:rRNA from 1 species
GGGCCCGCACAAGCGGUGGAGCAUGUGGUUUAAUUCGAUGAUACGCGAGGAACCUUACCAGGGCUUAAAUGCAGAAUGACAGAUUGGGAAACCAGUCCUUCUUCGGACAUUUUGCAAGGUGCUGCAUGGUUGUCGUCAGCUCGUGCCGUGAGGUGUCAGGUUAAGUCCUAUAACGAGCGCAACCCCUAUCAUUAGUUGCCAGCGGGUAAUGCCGGGAACUCUAAUGAGACUGCCAGCGCAAGCUGCGAGGAAGGUGGGGAUGACGUCAAAUCAUCACGGCCCUUACGUCCUGGCUACACACGUGCUACAAUGGUUGGGACAAUGGGCAGCCACUACGCGAGUAGGAGCUAA